GCUUGCUAGUAUGUCGGCUAAGUGGCGGACGGGUGAGUAAUGUAUAGUUAAUCUGCCCUUCAGAGAGGGAUAACAGUUAGAAAUGACUGCUAAUACCUCAUACUCCUUUCUACUUAAUGUAGAUUGGGAAAUGUUUUUUCGCUGAAGGAUGAGACUAUAUGGUAUCAGGUAGUUGGUGGGGUAAGAGCCUACCAAGCCAAUGACGCCUAGCUGGUCUGAGAGGAUGAUCAGCCACACUGGAACUGAGACACGGUCCAGACUCCUACGGGAGGCAGCAGUGGGGAAUAUUGCACAAUGGGGGAAACCCUGAUGCAGCAACGCCGCGUGGAGGAUGACACAUUUCGGUGCGUAAACUCCUUUUAUAUAGGAAGAUAAUGACGGUACUAUAUGAAUAAGCACCGGCUAACUCCGUGC
rnacentral:rRNA from 1 species